ACUUGGAUAGCUUAUUUAGAGCACGACGCUGAAGAUGUCGGGGAGGUGCACUGUACCUUUAAGUG
rnacentral:tRNA from 1 species